GCUCGUCCUGAAGGCAGGCGUUUUCGUGGUACAACUUGGCCACUUGCUGCUCCAGCUCGUCUAUCCUCCGCUUCUGCUUCUCCAGCAGCUCCUGCUGCGUCUCGAUAAUCUUGUUCAGCUCCUUCAGCAGGGAAAAGGCUCCGUUCCCGCCCGGAGAGCUGUGCCCGUCUGCUCCCUCUCCGCAGGAAACCACGAAUUACCCUGAUAAAUACAUUAAACCCCCAGACGUGCCCUGGGGCUGGCACCUGGAGCCUGCACCGUGCUGCUGGUGUGUUCUGGAUGUUGCUGCUGCUCAGCGCUGAAAGAGAGAGGAGGACUCUGUGCCUCAGGGAUGGUCUGUGCCCCUCCAAAAGCCUGCAUGCUCCACCAGGCUCUGUGAAUUAACAAGGAGAGGUAAACUUAGAAGAUAAGCAUAUUCAUAGAAUCAAUAAUGUAUUCACUCUCUAUCUGUGGAGACACAGAUUGUAAAAGCAGACCCAGCUUGUUCAGAUUUGCUCAGUUAGAAAAUUAAGUGACAUCAAGCCUAACCUUUUAAAAUAUGAAAAUCAUCAAAAUAACAUUCUUAUUACUUGCUAACAUCCUACCUCAGACAGUCCUUUUCCAUAAGCUACGCAGCACAUGGUUAAUUCUUGCCUGGGAAAGUGCCAAGGAAGAUUUAAAUAUGAAAGGGAACGUUGCUCAUUCAGUAAGUAGGAUUCUCUUACUCAUCUCUGGCAAGAGAGAAGUCACAGAGAGGUUGGGGCUGGAAGGGACCUCUGGAGGUCACCCAGUCCAACUUCCCUGCUAAAAUACCACAUCACCCUUUGGGAAAACCUUAGAAUGUCUCGAGUUUUGGUGUUUUCUGGCAAAUCAAUACCCUGCAGAGGAUUCUUUUUGAGUGUUCAGGGUCUGGUCCAGACUCAGAGUCACAUCCCUGGUGCCCACAGGCUCAUGGGCUGUUUGAUGUCCACCAGAGAUCAGGCACAAUCCUGGUCUUUGAGCUGCCAGAGCUGGAGGAGGGUUUGGACAAGGCUCUCAGGGAUGCCCAGGGUGGGAUUGUUGGGGUGUCAGAGCAGGGCCAGGGGCAGGGCUGGGUGAUCCCUGCGGGUCCCUUCCUGCUCUGUGUUUGCCUGUCCUGUUCUGAGAGCCUGGCUCUUGCCCUCACUGCCCAGCUUGGGUGGUUUGUCAGAGUUAAAUUUAUAGUUCUGUGUAGAGGCUGAGCACAAAAUGUCGCUGUUUCACAAAUGGUUUGGUGUGGCUAAUAAUGCCGUGGGUGAGCAAACAGCUGAAAUAAUUUUUUUCAAAGGAAGAUAAGACCAAGAAAAUGCCUGUGAUACAUAUUUUUCUAUGUAAAAUUAAUUAGGUCAAUGUAAUAUAAAAAAACAAGAAUCCAGAA